CUCGCAAGAGCAAAGCAGGGGACCUUCGGGCCUUGCGCUACCGGAUAUGCCCAGGUGGGAUUAGCUAGUUGGUGAGGUAAGGGCUCACCAAGGCGACGAUCCCUAGCUGGUCUGAGAGGAUGAUCAGCCACACUGGAACUGAGACACGGUCCAGACUCCUACGGGAGGCAGCAGUGGGGAAUAUUGCACAAUGGGCGCAAGCCUGAUGCAGCCAUGCCGCGUGUAUGAAGAAGGCCUUCGG
rnacentral:rRNA from 1 species